AUCAUUAGAACCUGAAUGUCCAUAUACAACCUACCCAAUCAUAUGUUGUUUCAGGUUACCACCAUGUGACACAAAGGUGACAGCAAACAAAUAUCUUUGGCUGUUAUCCAAGUAUUCCUGAGAUCCGUGCACGGUAGCACCACCUAUCGGCAGGUGUGUGACAACUUGUUUUCUCGUCUCGUUCUCGGUCAUAAACUACAGACAUAAACUCCAUUCAUUAUAUGUUGUCCCAGUUAAUCGAACAUACACUAUGCUUCACGUCAGCCAGGGCCUUCUCCAAGUUUUUCGUCCAGAACACGGAGUCCUCUCUACCUAUCACCUCACUCUUUGAAUACGUCGAGCAAGGAAUCACUGCUUUUUGUGACAUACUUCGUUGAUACCUACUUUUCCUCGAGCUAGUUCAACAUUUAUUUUUUCACCUCUCCAUAGACUGAGGGACAAAUGGAUGACGAUUUUUUGCCAAUAAAUAACAACUGAAUACCAGUCUACAAUUGUCUGAUUAUCGAUACCAAGAUCGCCAUCUCCUGACAGAAGUACACGGUAUAAAGGAGUUUCCCCAUUUAAAGGGAGAAAGGGUGUAUGCAUGUAUUUGUUUCUGUAUGAAUGUGCAUAGGUGGACGAGAGAAAGAGAGUCAAAGAAAGCAUGAAGAAAGAGAAGAGAGACUGAGGGAGAGAGGGAGAGGAGAGAAAAGGAGAUGAAAGAGAGAGAGAGAGAGAGAGAGGGAGAGAGAGAGAGAGAGAGAGAGAGAGAGAGAGAGAGAGAGAGAGAGAGAGAGAGAGGUAAAUUAUUUACUGUUUCUUUAUGAAUUGUUUGCUGCUAAGAUAAGUUUUUAUUAGAUGCAGGGAACUUGUUGCAGGUGCUAUAUUCUUCUAGCUUUUAGUUAAUAUAGUUUCCAGUGAUUUACAACUCUUUCGAUGAAAGCAAACUGAGUGCUAGCACAGUUUAGGAAAUGAAUAAAUAAAUAAAUAGAUAAAUAAUAAAGCAAAGAAAGUAUUUAGGUACAAAUCUUUGUUACAAGACGUUUUUAUUACUUUCUCAACAACAACAACAACAUUUACGAACCAAGCAAAUGUAAAACUUCUGGCGAAUUAAUUGGAAAUAAAAGAAACUUUGAGUUAGCAC